AACGAACGCUGGCGGCAUGCCUAACACAUGCAAGUCGAACGAACCUUUCGGGGUUAGUGGCGCACGGGUGCGUAACGCGUGGGAAUCUGCCCUUAGGUACGGAAUAACUCAGGGAAACUUGUGCUAAUACCGUAUGAUGUCUUCGGACCAAAGAUUUAUCGCCUAGGGAUGAGCCCGCGUUGGAUUAGCUAGUUGGUGGGGUAAAGGCCUACCAAGGCGACGAUCCAUAGCUGGUCUGAGAGGAUGAUCAGCCACACUGGGACUGAGACACGGCCCAGACCCCUACGGGAGGCAGCAGUGGGGAAUAUUGGACAAUGGGCGCAAGCCUGAUCCAGCAAUGCCGCGUGAGUGAUGAAGGCCUUAGGGUUGUAAAGCUCUUUUACCCGGGAAGAUAAUGACUGUACCGGGAGAAUAAGCCCCGGCUAACUCCGUGCCAGCAGCCGCGGUAAUACGGAGGGGGCUAGCGUUGUUCGGAAUUACUGGGCGUAAAGCGUACGUAGGCGGCUUUGUAAGUUAGAGGUGAAAGCCCGGGGCUCAACCCCGGAAUUGCCUUUAAGACUGCAUCGCUUGAACGUCGGAGAGGUGAGUGGAAUUCCGAGUGUAGAGGUGAAAUUCGUAGAUAUUCGGAAGAACACCAGUGGCGAAGGCGGCUCACUGGACGACUGUUGACGCUGAGGUACGAAAGCGUGGGGAGCAAACAGGAUUAGAUACCCUGGUAGUCCACGCCGUAAACGAUGAUAACUAGCUGUCCGGGCACUUGGUGCUUGGUGGCGCAGCUAACGCAUUAAGUUAUC
rnacentral:rRNA from 1 species